rnacentral:rRNA from 1 species
UAUUGGACAAAGGGCGAAAGCCUGAUCCAGCCAUGCGCCGUGAGUGAAGAAAGCAUUCGGGUUGUAAAGCUCUUUCGGACGGAAAGAAAUCGCACCGGAUAAAAACCUGCGCGGAUCACUGUACCGCAAUAAGAAGCACCGACUAACUACAUGCCAUCGGCCGCGGUAAUACGUAGGGUACGAGCGUUAAUCGGAAUUACUGGGCGUAAAGCGUGCGCAUGCGGUUGAUUAAGACAGGCGUGAAAUCCCCGGGCUUAACCUGGGAACUGCGCUGGUGACUGGUCAGCUAGAGUACGGCAGAGGGGGGUGGAAUUCCACGUGUAGCAGUGAAAUGCGUAGAGAUGUGGAGGAACACCGAUGGCGAAGGCAGCCCCCUGGGCCGAUACUGACGCUCAUGCACGAAAGCGUGGGUAGCAAACAGG